rnacentral:rRNA from 1 species
UACGUAGGUGACCAGCGUUGUCCGGAUUUACUGGGCGUAAAGAGCGCGCAGGCGGUCGUUCAAGUCGAGUGUGAAAGCCCCCGGCUCAACUGGGGAGGGUCAUUCGAUACUGAUCGACUCGAAGGCAGGAGAGGGUAGUGGAAUUCCCGGUGUAGUGGUGAAAUGCGUAGAUAUCGGGAGGAACACCUGUGGCGAAAGCGGCGCACUGGACCAUAACUGACGCUGAGGCGCGAAAGCUAGGGGAGCAAACAGG